AUUCCAGCUCCAAUAGCGUAUAUUAAAAUUGUUGACGUUAAAAAGCUCGUAGUCGAACUUCAGUUUCUGAUGACUGGUCUGCCUUUUGGUGUGUACUGGUUUGUUGGAUACUUACCUCUUGGUGAACUUUGAUGCACUUUACUGGGUGUUGAAGGGAACCAGGGAUAUUACUUUGAAAAAAUUAGAGUGUUCAAAGCAGGCUUAUGCCUAAAUACAUUAGCAUGGAAUAAUAAAAUAGGAUGUGUGAACCUAUUUUGUUGGUUUCUAGGAUCACCGUAAUGAUUAAUAGGGUCAGUUGGGGGCAUUUGUAUUACAUUGUCAGAGGUGAAAUUCUUGGAUUGAUGUAAGACAAACUACUGCGAAAGCAUCUGCCAAGGAUGAUUUCAUUA
rnacentral:rRNA from 1 species